UCGGAUAUAGAGACCGGCGCACGGGUGCGUAACGCGUAUGCAAUCUACCUUUUACAGAGGGAUAGCCCAGAGAAAUUUGGAUUAAUACCUCAUAGUAUAGCUCUACCGCAUGGUAGUACUAUUAAAGUCACAACGGUAAAAGAUGAGCAUGCGUCCCAUUAGCUAGUUGGUAAGGUAACGGCUUACCAAGGCAACGAUGGGUAGGGGUCCUGAGAGGGAGAUCCCCCACACUGGUACUGAGACACGGACCAGACUCCUACGGGAGGCAGCAGUGAGGAAUAUUGGACAAUGGGCGCAAGCCUGAUCCAGCCAUGCCGCGUGCAGGAUGACGGUCCUAUGGAUUGUAAACUGCUUUUGUACGAGAAGAAACACUGCUUCGUGAAGCAGCUUGACGGUAUCGUAAGAAUAAGGGUCGGCUAACUCCGUGCCAGCAGCCGCGGUAAUACGGAGGAUCCAAGCGUUAUCCGGAAUCAUUGGGUUUAAAGGGUCCGUAGGCGGUUUAGUAAGUCAGUGGUGAAAGCCCAUCGCUCAACGGUGGAACGGCCAUUGAUACUGCUGAACUUGAAUUAUUAGGAAGUAACUAGAAUAUGUAGUGUAGCGGUGAAAUGCUUAGAGAUUACAUGGAAUACCAAUUGCG
rnacentral:rRNA from 1 species